GCCCUAGUGGCACAAUGAUUAAGUGCUCAACUGCUAAUAGAAAGGUUGGUGGUUCAAAUCCACCCAGGGGCU
rnacentral:tRNA from 1 species